CAUAGGCCCCGCCCCUCGCGGCGCUUCCCCCGGAAUAGCGUCAUCAGUUCUAUAAGAGAGCCGGCGCAGAAGGCCUCGGCCUUUCACUUUCGGGAAGCGUCGGGAUUAGGUGAUAGCACGCAGUUGUCUUUUGUAAAUUAAAAUGAUAAUUGAGCCAAAACUUACAGCCUUACCUGAAAGGCAGCGCAGUCAGGAUAUUGGUAGGUCGGGGACAGCUUUGGCAACCCUUAGGUUUACAGGCAUGCGCGGACAUGAGUGCUCAUUAGGUAGUGGGGUGGCGGCCACGUGCAGCCCAGGAGCCUGAACCCGGGCGCGCGUGGGCCGUGGGCCCUCGGGGAAAGGCUCAGUGCACCCGGGGACUCCGGUGAAGCGUGUUUGGCCGUCGGUGUCAUGUGGCCAUCUUGAGUCUAGUCGCUCUUCGUGCCUUAGCACCUCGAGAACCGUCAGUUUGCACCAGAUGGAAGCUGAACUGAACACAUUACGAUGGAUGAUGGAAACAUGAGACUCAAGAAAUCAGAAGUGGUAAUGGGUGAAGUCUAUUCAGCAUCCUGCAAUGGAUUUAUCUUAGUUGGUGAAACGGAUGUUUCGAAUGAUGUUGUGGAGGUUAUCAGGACGCCCAUUUUCAAUAUAGGCCUGAAUGUUUUAACGUAAUAUUUAAGGUGGUCCUUAAAUAAAAUGCAUAAUUUUAUGUGG